rnacentral:rRNA from 1 species
GACGAACGCUGGCGGCGUGCUUAACACAUGCAAGUCGAGCGGUAAGGCCCUUUCGGGGUACACGAGCGGCGAACGGUGAGUAACACGUGGGUGACCUGCCCUCAGCUCUGGGAUAAGCCUGGGAAACCGGGUCUAAUACCGGAUAUGACUCCAUGACGCAUGUUGUGGGGUGGAAAGCCUUGUGCGGCUGAGGAUGGGCCCGCGGCCUAUCAGCUUGUUGGUGGGGUGANGGCCUACCAAGGCGACGACGGGUAGCCGGCCUGAGAGGGCGACCGGCCACACUGGGACUGAGACACGGCCCAGACUCCUACGGGAGGCAGCAGUGGGGAAUCUUGCGCAAUGGGCGAAAGCCUGACGCAGCGACGCCGCGUGAGGGAUGACGGCCUCGGUGUAACU